rnacentral:rRNA from 1 species
UACGUAGGUGGCAAGCGUUGUCUGGAUUUACUGGGCGUAAAGAGCGCGCAGGCGGUCGUUCAAGUCGCGUGUGAAAGCCCCCGGCUCAACUGGGGAGGGUCACGCGAUACUGAUCGACUCGAAGGCAGGAGAGGGAAGUGGAAUUCCCGGUGUAGUGGUGAAAUGCGUAGAUAUCGGGAGGAACACCAGUGGCGAAGGCGACUUCCUGGCCUGUUCUUGACGCUGAGGCGCGAAAGCUAGGGGAGCAAACGGG